rnacentral:rRNA from 1 species
GACGAACGCUGGCGGCGUGCUUAACACAUGCAAGUCGAACGGGGCGAAGUGAUAGCUUGCUAUUAUGGAGCCUAGUGGCAAACGGGUGAGUAACGCGUAGGCAACCUGCCCUUCAGAUGGGGACAACACCUCGAAAGGGGUGCUAAUACCGAAUGACGUUUCCUAGUCGCAUGACCUGGAAACCAAGGCUGGGCAACCGGUCACUGAAGGAUGGGCCUGCGUCUGAUUAGCUAGUUGGUGGGGUAACGGCCCACCAAGGCGACGAUCAGUAGCCGGUCUGAGAGGAUGAACGGCCACAUUGGGACUGAGACACGGCCCAAACUCCUACGGGAGGCAGCAGUGGGGAAUCUUCCGCAAUGGGCNCAAGCCUGACGGAGCAACGCCGCGUGAGUGAAGAAGGUUUUCGGAUUGUAAACCUCUGUUUUUAGUGAAGAACAAAUGACGGUAGCUAAAGAGGAAGCCACGGCUAACUACGUGCCAGCAG